AUCAACUCUAGCUCGUGGUCACUGCACGAGACUGUGUGGUCUUAUUGUCAACAACUAUAGGAAACACUAAAGUAAGAACAGCAGUGAUUCCCACAGCAAGUCGAUCACCGGUUUCACCAGGGUCCAUCCAGAACGGCAUCCAGGACAGAAAUACCAAGAACACACAGGUUUCCAAGGCAACAAUGUCAAAAUGAGGAAGGUUCAUGUCCUUGGAGAUGGCGACAGGUUUGUCAGUGUUUUCCCAUUUAAAAACAAUCUCUGCAGCU